rnacentral:rRNA from 1 species
UACGUAGGGGGCUAGCGUUGUCCGGAUUUAUUGGGCGUAAAGAGCGUGUAGGCGGCCUGACACGUCUGCUGUGAAAACUCGAGGCUCAACCUCGAGAUGUCGGCGGAAACUGUCUGGCUAGAGUCCGGAAGAGGAGAGUGGAAUUCCUGGUGUAGCGGUGAAAUGCGCAGAUAUCAGGAAGAACACCUAUGGCGAAGGCAGCUCUCUGGGACGGUACUGACGCUGAGACGCGAAAGCGUGGGGAGCGAACAGG